GCCACUGCUACCUGCUCCUGAUGCCUCCUCUCAUCCUGUUCUCAGCGUCCAGGAGCAUCUCGGCUGUCAGUCCUGGGUUCCUGAGACUGACGAGGGCAAGGAGAGCUAAGGGAUGGGGGAAAUGGUGGCCCCUGGGCAGAAGCUACCAACAAGGGGCUUGCGGCUGCCAGAAAGAAGUGAUGGUGACAUUUGAAACCCACAGGGACAGAAGCCCACCAGUGUGCUGACAGGUGUCAAGAGCCAGGAUGCUGGGAUGAUGCCCUUGGAGGCCCUGGUGUCCCCCCUGCCCAGGUGCUAGGAGCCGUCCCCAGGCUCCAACUGGGAGCCCUGCUGCCCAGGGGCAUGGCCAAACCUUUCUUCAGACUCCAGAAGUUUCUCCGCAGAACACAGUUCCUGCUUCUCUUCCUCACGGCCGCCUACCUGAUGACCGGCAGCCUGCUGCUCCUGCAGCGGGCCAGAGUGGCCCUCCCACAGGCCCUCCGGGCUCCCGGCAGCCUGCAGGCCUUACCA
rnacentral:lncRNA from 1 species